rnacentral:rRNA from 1 species
AUGGAGGGUCUCCUCGACAGGCCCCUGAACCCGAACAAGCUUCUUAAGGAGCAAUUCGUGAGCAACCUGACGGGGUCGUCCCUUCUGGAGAUCGCGGUGCUCUCCACUAUCGUGCCGGCAGUGGUGGUUUUAAGGAAAUGGAGCAGCAGAGAUAAUAUUAGGAGGGAUUCAGUGAAGAAAAAUGAUGAUGCUCUUGCUGAUCAUAAAGAUGAAGUGUAUUACUUUUCAGCGUUGGUUAUAGAUUGUCUCACUGUUGUAUUGCCUAUACUUCUGAUUUUCACGAUCUUAGCUGAAUGGGCUUAUAUUUGUGCAAUUUCUCUUGUAGUUGUGAUAUCUAUCUACAUCUUGCUUAAAAGGUCUCAGUCUCAUCUCAAGGCUCAACAACAUCUGCCUUCUCUUAGGGCAGACAUAUCUUCUUACCGAGUGUCAGUGGUUUUAGUGACAUGCUUGUCCAUAUUGGCAGUGGAUUUCAAAAUCUUUCCUAGACGGUAUGCAAAGGCUGAAACAUAUGGUAGUGGCAUUAUGGAUCUCGGAGUAGGGUCUUUUGUAGUGGCUAACGCACUGGUGUCUAGACAAGCACGAAACAUAACCUCAAUGAGAUGGAAGGCAGCACUGAGGUCCAUAAGUCCUCUAGUAUUUCUUGGCUUUGCUCGUCUUAUCUCUACAUCAGGUGUUGAUUAUCAGGUGCAUGUAGGAGAAUAUGGUGUCCAUUGGAACUUCUUUUUCACCCUUGCAGCAGUUUCUAUCCUUACAUCCAUUAUCAGGAUUCAUCCUAAAUAUUGCGGGAUAGUUGGUAUGCUUGUUCUUGCAGGAUACCAGGUAUGGCUAAAUUUUGGGUUGAAUGAGUAUCUCACAUCUGAUGAGAGAAGUGCUGAUAUCAUUGGCCAGAAUAAGGAAGGCGUGUAUAGCAUAUUUGGAUACUGGGGUAUGUACCUGAUUGGUGUAUCUCUGGGUUACUUUUUGUUUCAUAACCUUAGUUCAAAAGGAAAGAUCAGGAGCACUCAAGUGGUAAAAGUCUGGGUUCUCGCGGCAUCAUUUUGGAUUUUGGCGAUCAUUCUUGACAGCUAUGUUGAAAGAGUUUCUCGACGAAUGUGUAACUUCGCCUAUGUUAUGCUUGUGUUUGGCCAGAAUUUUCAGGUUAUAUCUAUUCUCACACUAGCGGGGUCCAUUUCACAUGACAAGAAUUUGGUUCUUGAGGAAGCAUUCAAUCAAAAUAUGCUUGGGGUAUUCAUUGUGGCAAAUAUCCUAACUGGUCUAGUAAAUCUCUCAGUUGACACGCUUUCGGCCUCUCCCCUCGCUGCCUUCAUGAUUUUGGUAGCAUACACCUUUACUUUGUGCAUGCUUGCUGGUCUUGCUCAGUUUUCUGGUGUUAGGAUAAAAUUUUGGUGA